rnacentral:lncRNA from 1 species
AUGGAGGGUCCCGUGGAAAAAUUCAUCUAUGAAUCAGAUGAGGAGGCCCCACGACAGUGGCAGGUCAGGCCACCUGCUGUUGUCACAGAAAAAGCCGGCAGACUGCCUGAAGAAAAAGGUUCCAGGAAGGAGCCCCUGGAAGACAGCAAGAAAGGCUCAGCUGAGGACGCUUCCCAAUAUUUGAAGGUACCAACAAGACGUCUCCCGGCACCUGCAGAAAAGGCAAAAGAGACAAACCCUGAGCAGGCAGAAGAAAUAAAACCUAGUGAGCUCAAGGUGGAUGAGGAUGCUAAAGAGCCUGAACUGACCUGUUGUGGCCUGACCUGUUGUGGCCUUUGUAUUUCAUGGUGGAAAUCACUAAAGAUACCAACAAGUCCUCUCCCGGAACCUGAAGAAAAAGCAAUAGAGACAAACCCUGAACAGGCAGAAGAAAUAAAACCUAGUGAGCUCGAGGAGGAUGAGGAUGCUGAAGAGCCUGACUCGACCUGUUCUGGCCUUUGUACUUGA